rnacentral:lncRNA from 1 species
AUGGUGAACAUUCCUAAAACCCGUCGGACUUUCUGUAAGAAGUGUGGCAAACACCAACCCCACAAAGUGACAAAAUACAAGAAGAGCAAGGAUUCUCUGAAUGCCCAGGGAAAGCAGCGUUAUGACAGAAAGCAGAGUGGCUAUGGUGGGCAGACUAAGCUGAUUAUCCCGAAAAAGGCCAAAACUACAAAGAAGAUUGUGCUAAAGUUUGAGUGCUUUGAGCCCAACUGCACGUCUAAGGCUAUUAACAGAUGCGUUUUGAACUGGGAGUAGAUAAGAAGAGAAAGGGCCAAGUGAUCCAAUUCUAA